AUAAUACGGUUUGGGAUUUCUGGCCUCUCCUCGAUUCUAGGUCCUACGUGGCGUAUCUAAACAUUCAGUAUUCAAAAUUUCUGCAAUUCUAGAGCUUCUGGCAUAAUAUUAGUCAUCCAAUGUGGCAAAAUACAUCCUACAUCGCAUAUCUUAUUUUAAUUCUUAAAACACAAAAUUAAGUAUAUCUCCUCCCCAAAUUCAAUUCCCCUAAACCACCCCCCGUCUCCACACUACUCUCCCCUCCCCCGUCUGAAUCAGCGCCGCCCCUCCUUCCUCCGCCGUGAAUCCCUCCUCUUCGUUUGUCUAUUCUUUCUGCAGCUCCACACCAGCCUCUCCCCUCUCCCGCGGCGAUUACUCUGGCCCCAACUCGGCACCGUGGCCCCUCCUUCCUGUUUUCGCGUAGCAAUUUCUCCCUCUCUUUCGCCACGACUCGCGUCACCGCCGCUGCCGCAAUCGCCAGAGAUCUACCCCGAUCUGCCACCGCGGCCCCUUCUUCCUGUCUCCGCGUAGCAAUUUCUCCCUCUCUUCCGUUGCGAUUCGCGUCACCGCCGCUGCCGCAAUCGCCAGAGAUCUGCUCCGAUCUGCCUCCCACUCCACCAAUUUCUUCAUUCUGCCUCCCGCUGCGAUUCGCUUCGCCGCGCCGGCCACCAUCGAGAUCGACAUAGUCCACCGCCUCGCCAUGAUAAGUAUUCAAUUAGGAAAUGUAAUUAUUGACUAUAAUCAGUGCUCAAUUUUGGAAAGAUUUACCAAUCGAUCAAUAAUCUGCCAAUUUUUUGGGUUUAGAUUUAACAAUGGAAAAUUAUUAUGUUAGGAAAGAUUACAUUUCAUUAUGACUAGUACUAAAUUUUAUAAAUGUGAAAAUUUGGAAAGAUUUACCUAUUGAUUAAUAAUCAGCAAAUUCUUAGGGUUUAGAUUUAACAAUGGAAACUUUAUAACCUACAUUUUAGCUUAAAUUCAUUAGUUUGAAUGAGAAAUUUUAUUGCCGCAUUGAGUUUUACAGCAGCACAUUCUACUGUCUUCUUGCUUAUUGCUCAUUUUUCUUAUUUCUCAAGGUAUACAUUAUAUCAAUUUUAUUUUAUUAAUGUUUUUUUUAACUCAAUUAUCAGAAUAUAUAUAUAUAUAUAUAUAUAUAUAUAUAUAUAUAUGUAUGAUGAACAAUUUCGCAUAUUAAACUGUAUUUGAGAUUUGGAUUUCGAAUAGUAGUAUUUGAGCUAUAAAUUAUGCCUCGACUAUUGGCCGUCCUUGAGCCCGGAAACCGUUCGACGACGUGCAGUCGUGCCAUCGGCUCGGGUCCAGCGAACUGCCGCUGUACUCCAAAACUCGGCGAGGGUCGUUGUUCAACCUUGCCUAGGUUAUGUUAUCUUGCUCGAGGAAGAAACGGAGAGUGCUCGGUUGUUCCCCUUGACUGUUGCAAUACGAAGAGUUAGUUGAGAUAAGCUAAAGGUGUUGUCAGUUAAAUUCAUAUGUUAUUUUUAGCUUUUUUCUGGUUUGUCUUUCUUUUGGGGUUGUGAGAAAAUGAUCAUUAAUAGCUGCUGAUGAAAUUGGGCCUUUGUGUUUUAAGUUUUAAGUUGUUUGAAUUAAAGAUGAUGUUAUAUCACAAUUGUAAAACUCCAUGUUGCAUGUAUUGAGCAAAUUAAUCUGAUUUUGAAAGGUUUCCUAAGAAACGGAAGUUGAUUCAUGAUCAGAUUAAUUUGGUUAUUAGCCAACUCUGCUAAAUUUAUAUUGCAGGCGAUGAGCUUCUCUCUAACUCAUUCCCAUAGGAAAUCGAUAAUGGAAUGUUGUGAGAAGUAGAAGGAAAGUGGGUCAUUCAAGAGCAACCUCCUUUCGAUAAAAAAUAGUUCAUAUCAUACGUAAAGAAAUAUAUUAAGAACUUGAUCCCCAAGCUUCCUGAAGCCGAGAAACAAGAGCAGUUCAAAAAGGGUAUUGAAGGAGUUACAACCUUGGAAGUGAACGAAGGUUGCAGCAGGAGAUACAGAGGAACAACCGAACUUAUUUGAGGCAACGAGUGCCGUUCUUUCUGCAGAACCAACCACCAGAUCAUAUUUGUAUAUAAAAUAUAUUGAGAUCUCGUAGGAUAAUUAGUGUUGUAGGUUUCUCCUUCGAAUUGGAUUUGUAUGUGUCUUCUCAGAUUACUAUGUGCCAUUAAUAAAUACUCUAUUCAGUAA